rnacentral:rRNA from 1 species
UGAAUACGAGAUGCUACGGCGUCGAAGCAGUCUAUGUCAUACUUCCAAGAAAAGCUUGCACUGUCAUAAACAAAUAAUGCCUGUACCAUAACCGACACAGGUGGGUAGGUAGAGUAUACUAAGGGGCGCGAGAUAACUCUCUCUAAGGAACUCGGCAAAAUGACUCCGUAACUUCGGGAGAAGGAGUGCCUUAUUUAUAAGGUUGCAAAAACAAGAUCCAAGCAACUGUUUACCAAAAACACAGGUCUCCGCUAAGUCGCAAGACGAUGUAUGGGGGCUGACGCCUGCCCAGUGCCAGAAGGUUAAAGAAGUUGGUUAGCAUCCGCGAAGCUGAUAACUGAAGCCCUGGUGAACGGCGGCCGUAACGAUAACGGUCCUAAGGUAGCGAAAUUCCUUGUCGGGUAAGUUCCGACCCGCACGAAAGGCGUAAUGAUUUGGAUACUGUCUCGGAGAGGGGCUCGGUGAAAUAGACUUGUCUGUGAAGAUGCGGACUACCUGCACCAGGACAGAAAGACCCUAUGAAGCUUUACUGUAACCUGAAAUUGAAAUUGGACUUUACUUGCGCAGUAUAGGUGGGAGGCGUUGAGAAUAUUCUUGCGGGAUUAUUGGAGCCAUCAGUGAGAUACCACUCUUGUAAUGUUAGAUUUCUAACUUUGUAUCAUUAUCUGGUCAAAGAACAGUUUCAGGCGGGCAGUUUGACUGGGGCGGUCGCCUCCUAAACGGUAACGGAGGCGCACAAAGGUUUCCUCUGAACGGGUAGAAAUCGUAUCUAGAGUGUAAAGGCAUAAGGAAGCUUGACUGUGAGACCUACAAGUCGAGCAGGGACGAAAGUCGGUCUUAGUGAUCUGACGGUGCUGAGUGGAAAGGCCGUCACUCAACGGAUAAAAGUUACUCUAAGGAUAACAGGCUGAUCUCCCCCAAGAGUUCACAUCGACGGGGAGGUUUGGCACCUCGAUGUCGGCUCAUCGCAUCCUGGGGCGGUAGUACGUCCCAAGGGUUGGGCUGUUCGCCCAUGAAAGCGGUACGCGAGCUGGGUUCAGAACGUCGUGAGACAGUUCGGUCCAUAUCCGGUGUAGGCGUUAGAAUAUUGAGAGGAGCCUUCUUUAGUACGAGAGGACCGAGAAGGACAUACCUCUGGUGUACCAGUUAUCGUGCCAACGGUAAACGCUGGGUAGCUAUGUGUGGAGUGGAUAACCGCUGAAAGCAUCUAAGUGGGAAGCCCACCUCAAGAUAAGUAUUCUCAC